ACGGGUGAGUAACGCGUGGGAACGUACCCUUUACUACGGAAUAACGCAGGGAAACUUGUGCUAAUACCGUAUGUGCCCUUUUGGGGAAAGAUUUAUCGGUAAGGGAUCGGCCCGCGUUGGAUUAGCUAGUUGGUGGGGUAAAGGCCUACCAAGGCGACGAUCCAUAGCUGGUCUGAGAGGAUGAUCAGCCACAUUGGGACUGAGACACGGCCCAAACUCCUACGGGAGGCAGCAGUGGGGAAUAUUGGACAAUGGGCACAAGCCUGAUCCAGCCAUGCCGCGUGAGUGAUGAAGGCCCUAGGGUUGUAAAGCUCUUUCACCGGAGAAGAUAAUGACGGUAUCCGGAGAAGAAGCCCCGGCUAACUUCGUGCCAGCAGCCGCGGUAAUACGAAGGGGGCUAGCGUUGUUCGGAAUUACUGGGCGUAAAGCGCACGUAGGCGGACAUUUAAGUCAGGGGUGAAAUCCCAGAGCUCAACUCUGGAACUGCCUUUGAUACUGGGUGUCUUGAGUAUGGAAGAGGUGAGUGGAAUUCCGAGUGUAGAGGUGAAAUUCGUAGA
rnacentral:rRNA from 1 species